rnacentral:rRNA from 1 species
AGAGUUUGAUCCUGGCUCAGGACGAACGCUGGCGGCGUUAACACAUGCAAGUCGAGCGCUGAAGCUUCGGGUGGAUGAGCGGCGAACGGGUGAGUAACACGUGGGUGACCUGCCCUCAGCUCUGGGAUAAGCCUGGGAAACUGGGUCUAAUACCGGAUACGACUUCCUGCCGCAUGGUGGGUUGUGGAAAGUUUUUCGGCUGAGGAUGGGCCCGCGGCCUAUCAGCUUGUUGGUGGGGUGAUGGCCUACCAAGGCGACGACGGGUAGCCGGCCUGAGAGGGCGACCGGCCACACUGGGACUGAGACACGGCCCAGACUCCUACGGGAGGCAGCAGUGGGGAAUAUUGCGCAAUGGGCGAAAGCCUGACGCAGCGACGCCGCGUGGGGGAUGACGGCCUUCGGGUUGUAAACCUCUUUCGCCAGGGACGAAGCUAACGUGACGGUACCUGGAUAAGAAGCACCGGCCAACUACGUGCCAGCAGCCGCGGUAAUACGUAGGGUGCGAGCGUUGUCCGGAAUUAUUGGGCGUAAAGAGCUCGUAGGCGGUGUGUCACGUCGGUCGUGAAAACCUGGGGCUUAACUCUGGGCUUGCGGUCGAUACGGGCAUCACUUGAGUUCGGCAGGGGAGACUGGAAUUCCUGGUGUAGCGGUGAAAUGCGCAGAUAUCAGGAGGAACACCGGUGGCGAAGGCGGGUCUCUGGGCCGAUACUGACGCUGAGGAGCGAAAGCGUGGGGAGCGAACAGGAUUAGAUACCCUAGUAGUCC